rnacentral:rRNA from 1 species
UACAGAGGUCUCAAGCGUUGUUCGGAUUCAUUGGGCGUAAAGGGUGCGUAGGCGGUAUUGCAAGUCGGAUGUGAAAUCUUGGAGCUCAACUCCAAAAAUGCAUUCGAUACUGCGGUGCUUGAGGACUGGAGAGGAGACUGGAAUUCACGGUGUAGCAGUGAAAUGCGUAGAUAUCGUGAGGAAGGCCGGUGGCGAAGGCGGGUCUCUGGACAGUUCCUGACGCUGAGGCACGAAGGCCAGGGGAGCAAACGGG